rnacentral:rRNA from 1 species
AUUGAACGCUGGCGGCAUGCUUUACACAUGCAAGUCGAACGGCAGCACGGACUUCGGUCUGGUGGCGAGUGGCGAACGGGUGAGUAAUACAUCGGAACGUGCCCAGUCGUGGGGGAUAACGUAGCGAAAGCUACGCUAAUACCGCAUACGAUCUAAGGAUGAAAGCGGGGGAUCGCAAGACCUCGCGCGAUUGGAGCGGACGAUGGCAGAUUAGGUAGUUGGUGGGGUAAAGGCUCACCAAGCCGACGAUCUGUAGCUGGUCUGAGAGGACGACCAGCCACACUGGGACUGAGACACGGCCCAGACUCCUACGGGAGGCAGCAGUGGGGAAUUUUGGACAAUGGGCGCAAGCCUGAUCCAGCCAUUCCGCGUGCAGGAUGAAGGCCCUCGGGUUGUAAACUGCUUUUGUACGGAACGAAAAGGCUCUGGUUAAUACCUGGGGCUCAUGACGGUACCGUAAGAAUAAGCACCGGCUAACUACGUGCCAGCCGCCGCUGUAACAC